rnacentral:Y_RNA from 1 species
GGCUGGUCUGAGCACAGAGGUGUUUACAACCAACUGAUCACAGCCAGGUAGAUUUCUUUGUUCUUUCUCCAGUCCCACUGCUUUGCUUAACCAGCCUUAA